rnacentral:rRNA from 1 species
GACGAACGCUGGCGGCGUGCUUAACACAUGCAAGUCGAACGAUGAAGCUGGAGCUUGCUCCGGUGGAUUAGUGGCGAACGGGUGAGUAACACGUGAGCAAUCUGCCCCUGACCCUGGGAUAACUGCGGGAAACUGGAUCUAAUACCGGCUAUGAGGCUUGGAGGCAUCUCCCGGUCUGGAGAGAAUUUCGGUCAAGGAUGAGCUCGCGGCCGAUCAGCUAGUUGGUGUGGUAAUGGCUCACCAAGGCGACGACGGGUAGCCGGCCUGAGAGGGUGACCGGCCACACUGGGACUGAGACACGGCCCAGACUCCUACGGGAGGCAGCAGUGGGGAAUAUUGCACAAUGGGCGAAAGCCUGAUGCAGCAACGCCGCGUGAGGGAUGAAGGCCUUCGGGUUGUAAACCUCUUUUAGCAGGGAAGAAGCGAAAGUGACGGUACCUGCAGAAAAAGCACCGGCUAACUACGUGCCAGCAGCCGCGGUAA